ACGCAGUUUGAAAGGGCCUACAACACCUGAUACCUGGGGGAAAUUAUUGCCCUCAAAUGAAGAAAAGCAAAGCAGAGUUAACAUUUGGUCGUGCACAAAUAUUUUGUCAACUAGUAAACUGCACCUCAACGUAGUGUGGACCCAGCAGGACAAAGGUGGAGCCUGGACUUGGGCAAGGUGACUAGCUCCGAAAUCACGCCACCCCUCCCCCUCGAUGGAGCCUGGGACAGAGUUGGCCUGGAGGCUUCCAAGGGGGAGAAAUGAACGAGUGAAGAUUCUUCUUCUGGGUCAGAGAUAUGGCAACAACCUAAGUAUCUGUCAGUUGACGAAUGGAUAAAGAAGAUGUAGAAGACAGGUACAAUGGAACAUUAUUCAGCCACGAGGAAGAAGGAAAUUUUGCCAUUUGUGACAACACGGAUGAACCUUGAGGACACUAUGCUAAGUGAUAGGUCAGAGAAAGACAAAUACCAUAUGAUCUCACUUACGCAUGGAAUUAAAAUAGCCAGACUGGGUGCCUGAGUGGCUCAGUCGGUUAAGCCUCUGA